GAUGAACGCUGGCGGCGUGCCUAAUACAUGCAAGUCGAGCGAACGGACGAGAAGCUUGCUUCUCUGAUGUUAGCGGCGGACGGGUGAGUAACACGUGGAUAACCUACCUAUAAGACUGGGAUAACUUCGGGAAACCGGAGCUAAUACCGGAUAAUAUUUUGAACCGCAUGGUUCAAAAGUGAAAGACGGUCUUGCUGUCACUUAUAGAUGGAUCCGCGCUGCAUUAGCUAGUUGGUAAGGUAACGGCUUACCAAGGCAACGAUGCAUAGCCGACCUGAGAGGGUGAUCGGCCACACUGGAACUGAGACACGGUCCAGACUCCUACGGGAGGCAGCAGUAGGGAAUCUUCCGCAAUGGGCGAAAGCCUGACGGAGCAACGCCGCGUGAGUGAUGAAGGUCUUCGGAUCGUAAAACUCUGUUAUUAGGGAAGAACAUAUGUGUAAGUAACUGUGCACAUCUUGACGGUACCUAAUCAGAAAGCCACGGCUAACUACGUGCCAGCAGCCGCGGUAAUACGUAGGUGGCAAGCGUUAUCCGGAAUUAUUGGGCGUAAAGCGCGCGUAGGCGGUUUUUUAAGUCUGAUGUGAAAGCCCACGGCUCAACCGUGGAGGGUCAUUGGAAACUGGAAAACUUGAGUGCAGAAGAGGAAAGUGGAAUUCCAUGUGUAGCGGUGAAAUGCGCAGAGAUAUGGAGGAACACCAGUGGCGAAGGCGACUUUCUGGUCUGUAACUGACGCUGAUGUGCGAAAGCGUGGGGAUCAAACAGGAUUAGAUACCCUGGUAGUCCACGCCGUAAACGAUGAGUGCUAAGUGUUAGGGGGUUUCCGCCCCUUAGUGCUGCAGCUAACGCAUUAAGCACUCCGCCUGGGGAGUACGACCGCAAGGUUGGAACUCAAAGGAAUUGACGGGGACCCGCACAAGCGGUGGAGCAUGUGGUUUAAUUCGAAGCAACGCGAAGAACCUUACCAAAUCUUGACAUCCUUUGACAACUCUAGAGAUAGAGCUUUCCCCUUCGGGGGACAAAGUGACAGGUGGUGCAUGGUUGUCGUCAGCUCGUGUCGUGAGAUGUUGGGUUAAGUCCCGCAACGAGCGCAACCCUUAAGCUUAGUUGCCAUCAUUAAGUUGGGCACUCUAAGUUGACUGCCGGUGACAAACCGGAGGAAGGUGGGGAUGACGUCAAAUCAUCAUGCCCCUUAUGAUUUGGGCUACACACGUGCUACAAUGGACAAUACAAAGGGCAGCGAAACCGUGAGGUCAAGCAAAUCCCAUAAAGUUGUUCUCAGUUCGGAUUGUAGUCUGCAACUCGACUACAUGAAGCUGGAAUCGCUAGUAAUCGUAGAUCAGCAUGCUACGGUGAAUACGUUCCCGGGUCU
rnacentral:rRNA from 1 species